UACGGAGGGUGCAAGCGUUGUUCGGAAUCAUUGGGCGUAAAGAGAGCGUAGGCGGUCCACCAAGUCGAGUGUGAAAGCCCGGGGCUCAACCCCGGAACUGCGCCUGAAACUGGUGGACUUGAGUACGGAAGAGGGUUGCGGAAUUGCCAGUGUAGAGGUGAAAUUCGUAGAGAUUGGCAAGAAUGCCGGUGGCGAAGGCGGCAACCUGGUCUGAUACUGACGCUGAGGCUCGAAAGCGUGGGGAGCAAACAGG
rnacentral:misc_RNA from 1 species